rnacentral:rRNA from 1 species
GCUUAAUACAUGCAAGUCGAGGGGCAGCAUGGUGUAGCAAUACACUGAUGGCGACCGGCAAACGGGUGCGGAACACGUACACAACCUUCCUUUAAGCGGGGGAUAGCCCAGAGAAAUUUGGAUUAAUACCCCAUAGAAUAGCGAUGAGGCAUCUUAUUGUUAUUAAAGAUUUAUCACUUGAAGAUGGGUGUGCGUCUGAUUAGGUAGUUGGCGGGGUAACGGCCCACCAAGCCAUCGAUCAGUAACUGGUGUGAGAGCACGACCAGUCACACGGGCACUGAGACACGGGCCCGACUCCUACGGGAGGCAGCAGUAAGGAAUAUUGGUCAAUGGACGCAAGUCUGAACCAGCCAUGCCGCGUGGAGGAUGAAGGUCCUCUGGAUUGUAAACUUCUUUUAUUUGGGAAGAAAUGCAUCUUUUCUAAGGUGUUUGACGGUACCAGAUGAAUAAGCACCGGCUAACUCCGUGCCAGCAGCCGCGGUAAU